GCCGAUUUAGCUCAUCCGGUAGAGCAGUUGUUUUGUAAGCAUCAGGUGGUCCGUUCGAGUCGGACAAUCGGCA
rnacentral:tRNA from 5 species